AACGAACGCUGGCGGCAUGCCUAACACAUGCAAGUCGAACGAGACCUUCGGGUCUAGUGGCGCACGGGUGCGUAACGCGUGGGAAUCUGCCCUUGGGUUCGGAAUAACAGUGAGAAAUUACUGCUAAUACCGGAUGAUGACGAAAGUCCAAAGAUUUAUCGCCCAAGGAUGAGCCCGCGUAGGAUUAGCUAGUUGGUGAG
rnacentral:rRNA from 1 species